UGCAGUCGAGCGAACAGAGAAGGAGCUGUGCUCUUGGACGUUGGCGGCGGAGGGGGGAGGAACACGAGGGAAACCUAUGGAUAGUCCCGGGAGAACUCCGGGAAACCGGGGCUAAUACCGAAUAAUCUGUUUCACCUCAUGGUGAAACACUGAAAGACGGUUUCGGCUGUCGCUAUAGGAUGGGCCCGCGGCGCAUUAGCUAGUUGGUGAGGUAACGGCUCACCAAGGCGACGAUGCGUAGCCGACCUGAGAGGGUGAUCGGCCACACUGGGACUGAGACACGGCCCAGACUCCUACGGGAGGCAGCAGUAGGGAAUCUUCCACAAUGGGCGAAAGCCUGAUGGAGCAACGCCCCGUGAGUGAAGAAGGAUUUCGGUUCGUAAAACUCUGUUGUAAGGGAAGAACAAGUACAGUAGUAACUGGCUGUACCUUGACGGUACCUUAUUAGAAAGCCACGGCUAACUACGUGCCAGCAGCCGCGGUAAUACGUAGGUGGCAAGCGUUGUCCGGAAUUAUUGGGCGUAAAGCGCGCGCAGGUGGUUUCUUAAGUCUGAUGUGAAAGCCCACGGCUCAACCGUGGAGGGUCAUUGGAAACUGGGAGACUUGAGUGCAGAAGAGGAUAGUGGAAUUCCCAGUGUAGCGGUGAAAUGCGUAGAGAUUUGGAGGAACACCAGUGGCGAAAGGCGAUUUAUUUUGGUCUGUAAUUGAUCACUGGGGGCGCGGACAGCGUGGGGAGCAAAACACGGAUUAUGAUACCGUGGUAGUCCAUGCCGUACACGAUGAGUGCGUAAUUGCUUAAGGGUGUUUUGCCGUUCCUCAGUGCAUCCGCUAGAUGCAUUAAUCACUCCGCCCGGGGAAGUACUGGUCGCUAGACAGCAACUCACCAGGAGUUGAUCGAGGGGCCGGCCCUAUCGGUCGGAGCGUGUAGGUUUCAUUGGAUGCGAUGCUCGAAGAACAUUACCUAGGUCUUGAUCGUCCCGUUGACAUCACUGCAGAGAUAUGGUUCUCGUCUCCUAGUUGGGGGCGUCGGUUACUGGUGGUGCAUGGUUGUGGUCAGUCCGCUGUCGUGAAAGGAUGUUGGUUUCACUCCCGCAACAGUGUGCAACCCCUGAUAUCUGUCUGCCAUUAUUGAGUCUGGUCAUUCUUCGCCGUCGACUGCCGGUGACAAACCGGUGGAAGGUGGGGACGACGUCAAAUCAUCAUGCCCCUUAUGACCUGGGCUACACACCUGCUACAAUGGACGAUACAAACGGUUGCCAACUCGCGAGAGGGAGCUAAUCCGAUAAAGUCGUUCUCAGUUCGGAUUGUAGGCUGCAACUCGCCUACAUGAAGCCGGAAUCGCUUGUAAUCGCGGAUCAGCAUGCCGCGGUGAAUACGUUCCCGGGCCUUGUACACACCUCCCGUCACACCACGAGAGUUUUAACACCCGAAGUCGGUGAGGUAACCUUAGGAGCCAUCCGCCGUCUGGUAGGAUA
rnacentral:rRNA from 1 species